CACAUCACGUCUCAAGUACAUGCUAAGUAUGGUGAAAAUUGAUCUCACAACUAAGGGUGGCUCGAACCAAAGAUCAAUCUUGACAAAACUUAAACUUCUUAUAGAUGACCAUAAUCAUAUAAUAUCUCAGAAGACAAUUAUCACUUCAAGAUAGUUUUAUAAUGCAUCAUCCCGUAAUACCAAGGUGCUACCCCCCUUAAAAUGGAGAUUGAUUGGGGGACACUAAGGACUAAUUCUCCUAUCCUUUUUGAUGCUACACAUCAUAGUCUUUUACAUUCGUUGCACCGAGUCUCUUGAUCCAAGGUUAGUUUCAUCACUAAGUUCCAAUUAUCGCUAC
rnacentral:lncRNA from 1 species